UCCUGCCCUUUCAACACCUCCCUCCUCUUCCACCCCCAAAUAACUCUGUGGAGCUGUCAGGCUUUUUGCACCUUAAUGUGAAGACACUUUGUGGGUCCUCCCCAGACCUGCCCCCAACAAAGGAGCCUGUUGCCCAGCACAGAAUCACAGGACGUCGGAUCCAGGUGCACAGAAUACCCCGCACCUCCGCCAGAGACACACAGCCCUCUUCCUGGGGUUGUGGAGGGGGGGCAGUUGUGGCUUGCACCCAGCCAAGGAUUUUCAGAUUUGAAGACAUUAUGUUCCUUUUGUAUCCAGGAUGGAGUCUGUGCUCAUCUUCCAACAAAAUUAAAACACUGUCACAUCUGACCUUUGAGUGGGGGCUCUUUCAGCUCAUGGGKGUUGCCCUGAAGAAGUAAGGCUGGAUGCCCUUCCCUGAAGAGCAUUUUCAGCAAACAGAGGCACCCUUCUCCUGCACCUGUUACCACACUGUAUCCUUCAGAUCAUCUUCUGGACAUACUGGUGGGUCUCUAAGAUGAAGCUACCAUGCCAUAGUUUAAGCUCAACUAGUUUGACAGAAACUAAAGUUCUUAAAUUGUCACACCACUAUGGGAAUCUUGAGCACACACGCUUCUCAGAUGGAUCUACUAAAGAGUUUUCAUGUUCCAGAAUAAGAAGGAAGAAAAUAGAGGCAUGCCAUUCAUCUUUGAACUUGACUUUAUAUUUAUGAUAUUUAUAGUGUUUUAAAUAGUUUUCAUCCUAUUGACUAGAGGAAGUUUAAUAACUAGAUGGUAUUGAAAAUUGUAGUUCUUUAUGUAAGAGAGUCCUUUCUAAACUUACAUGUUUAAGCAGUUUUUACCAUGUGCUAUACAUACAUGGAUAUAUUGCUGGUGGUUUUCAGAUCUCCCAGAUAGUAGAAAAAAAUCAAUGACUUUGUUUUAGAUUUUCGAUGAGAUAACCC
rnacentral:lncRNA from 1 species